rnacentral:rRNA from 1 species
CCUACGGGGGGCAGCAGUGGGGAAUAUUGGACAAUGGGCGAAAGCCUGAUCCAGCCAUGCCGCGUGUGUGAAGAAGGCCUCGGGUUGUAAAGCACUUUCAGUGGGGAAGAAAGCCUUGGGGCUAAUACCCUCGAGGAAGGACAUCACCCACAGAAGAAGCACCGGCUAACUCCGUGCCAGCAGCCGCGGUAAUACGGAGGGUGCGAGCGUUAAUCGGAAUUACUGGGCGUAAAGCGCGCGUAGGCGGUCUGAUAAGCCGGUUGUGAAAGCCCCGGGCUCAACCUGGGAACGGCAUCCGGAACUGUCAGGCUAGAGUGCAGGAGAGGAAGGUAGAAUUCCCGGUGUAGCGGUGAAAUGCGUAGAGAUCGGGAGGAAUACCAGUGGCGAAGGCGGCCUUCUGGACUGACACUGACGCUGAGGUGCGAAAGCGUGGGUAGCAAACAGGAUUAGAUACCCGAGUAGUC